GAUGAAGAACGUAGCGAAAUGCGAUAAGUAAUGUGAAUUGCAGAAUUCCGUGAAUCAUCGAAUCUUUGAACGCACAUUGCGCCCGCCAGUAUUCUGGCGGGCAUGCCUGUUCGAGCGUCAUUUCAACCAUCAAGCCCCCGGCUUGUGUUGGGGACCUGCGGCUGCCGCAGGCCCUGAAAUGCAGUGGCGGGCUCGCUGUCACUCCGAGCGUAGUAGUUACAUCUCGCUCUGGGCGUGCUGCGGGUUCCGGCCGUUAAAAGCCUUAUUUACCCAAGGUUGACCUCGGAUCAGGUAGGAAGACCCGCUGAACUUAAGCAUAUCAAUAAGCGGAGGA
rnacentral:misc_RNA from 1 species